rnacentral:rRNA from 1 species
AGAGUUUGAUCAUGGCUCAGAAUCAACGCUGGCGGCGUGCCUAACACAUGCAAGUCGCACGAGAAAGCGGGCUUCGGCCUGCGAGUACAGUGGCGCACGGGUGAGUAACACGUGAAUAAUCUACCUCCGAGUGGGGAAUAACCUAGAGAAAUCUGGGCUAAUACCGCAUAACACUUACGAGUCAAAGCAGCAAUGCGCUUGGAGAGGAGUUCGCGGCAGAUUAGUUAGUUGGCAGGGUAAUGGCCUACCAAGACGAUGAUCUGUAUCCGGCCUGAGAGGGCGCACGGACACACUGGAACUGAAACACGGUCCAGACUCCUACGGGAGGCAGCAGUGGGGAAUUUUGCGCAAUGGGGGAAACCCUGACGCAGCAACGCCGCGUGGAGGAUGAAAUCCCUUGGGAUGUAAACUCCUUUCGAUCGGGACGAUUAUGACGGUACCGGAAGAAGAAGCCCCGGCUAACUUCGUGCCAGCAGCCGCGGUAAUACGAGGGGGGCAAGCGUUGUUCGGAAUUAUUGGGCGUAAAGGGCGCGUAGGCGGUUUGACAAGUCUGAUGUGAAAUCUCUGGGCUCAACCCAGAGUCUGCAUUAGAAACUGUCGAGCUUGAGUAUGGGAGAGGUGAGUGGAAUUUCCGGUGUAGCGGUGAAAUGCGUAGAUAUCGGAAGGAACACCUGUGGCGAAAGCGGCUCACUGGACCAUAACUGACGCUGAGGCGCGAAAGCUAGGGGAGCAAACAGGAUUAGAUACCCUAGUAGUCC